GAUGAACGCUGGCGGCGUGCCUAAUACAUGCAAGUCGAGCGAACAGACGAGGAGCUUGCUCCUCUGACGUUAGCGGCGGACGGGUGAGUAACACGUGGAUAACCUACCUAUAAGACUGGGAUAACUUCGGGAAACCGGAGCUAAUACCGGAUAAUAUAUUGAACCGCAUGGUUCUAUAGUGAAAGACGGUUUUGCUGUCACUUAUAGAUGGAUCCGCGCCGCAUUAACUAGUUGGUAAGGUAACGCCUUACCAAGGCAGCGAUGCGUAGCCGACCUGAUAGGGUGAUCGGCCACACUGGAGCUGAGAGACGGUGCAUACUCCUAGGGGAAGCAGCAGUGGGGAGUAUGGAGCAAUCGGCAACAGCCUGACGGAGCAACGCCGCGUGAGUGGUGAAGGUGCACGGGUCGUAGAACGCUGUUAUUGGGGAAGAAAAAAUGUAUAAGUAGCUAUGCACGUAUUGACGGUACCUAAUCAGAAAGCCACGGCUAACUACGUG
rnacentral:rRNA from 1 species